UACGGGGGGGGCAAGCGUUGUUCGGAAUUACUGGGCGUAAAGCGUGCGCAGGCGGUUCGUCGUGUCCGAUGUGAAAGCCCCGGGCUCAACCUGGGAAUGGCAUUGGAAACUGGCGGACUCGAGUGUGGCAGAGGGGGGUGGAAUUCCGCGUGUAGCAGUGAAAUGCGUAGAGAUGCGGAGGAACACCGAUGGCGAAGGCAGCCCCCUGGGCUAACACUGACGCUCAGGCACGAAAGCGUGGGGAGCAAACGGG
rnacentral:rRNA from 1 species